AGAGAGAGUAGAAUGAGAAGAAGGGAGACAAAAAAUAUAGCUAAGAAAAUUCAUUCUACUUUAGAGCAAUGAAAGAUACAGAAAACAGUGUAAUCACAAUCAUUGUGUUUAGGGAGAGGAAAAUGUCUUAAGAAAUGUUUUUCAAGUUUCUCUUCCAACUUUUUCCUCACCUCCAAAUGUUUUUGUUCUAAGACUUAUUUCAGUCUCUAACAUAUGCUGACAAUCCCAAUAAUUGGCUUGAGAAAUGGAAACCAGAGGCAGAAGGGAAGGGGACUUGAUGUAGGUGUACAAGGGCCAACACAGGGAGCUCUGUUGUACUCACACUUUGCAGUGGGAGAAAUAAGGCUCAGGGAGAAGGUGCUGAGAAGGCAUGUGGGACAGAACCAGGAAGUGAGUUAACAGUGUGAAAUGGCUGUGAUACUAUCUUCUUGGCCUAGGAAUUCCAUUUUUGGGUGAAUUUUUUCUACAUUUUCUCUCCUACAAAGGACUAGAGUCUAUAGAUUACUGUGAGCUUUGGCUAAUCAUGGCAUCUGGAGGAAAAUCAGAAUUUUGUUUUUAGCAGUUUUUGAUUGUUAGGAAUACACAAGUCCUAGGUAUAGCCACUUGCCUUAUGCCCUCCUUCUUCCUCCCCACUGACCCUUUCAGUUCAACUUUUAUCCUAUUAUAUCAUUUUGACAAUGAAACCAUUGGAGUGUGAAAGGGCCUUCUGUAAGGGUGGUCUCCUUUCAUUACUGUAGCAAUGUACCCUUGAACUGAAAUGGUUUCUAUUAAAUUAUGUAUAUGAUGUCUGUACCAUUUGAAAUAAAGGGCCAUUAUAAUUGCUCAGGUUGUGAAGCUCUUACUUAUAAAGAAAGAGUGACUGGCAUAAUAACUUUUUCUUUAAUAAUCGUUUUCACAUAAUAGAAUAAAUGUGGCGAAAUAAUUUUGUGUUCAUUGUAUUCUAAUGUAAUGUGAAGACUUAAGGGGGGAAAUGCCUUAGGAGUUUGCAAUCAGGAGAAGAUAGGAAAUGGAUGAGGGAACUCUUCUUGAUUUUUGCUGGCUAAAAUAUUUGUUUGGAUUUGAUAAAGAAAGAGUCCUCUAGUCUGCAAUAGCAAGCAAGCAUUCAGAAGGUGCAGAUAUAGUAAAAACUAGAAAUACCUUCCAUCAUGGAACUCAGAGGUUAUGGUUUUACUUGGGGGUUUCAGACCUAGGGUGUCUGUGGCAGGAGGUGGAUGUUUUAGCUGCUUCAAUCUGUUCACUUAGGACAGCCCUCCGCCCCCCAACCCACACAUACGCUCUUAGUUUCCUUUCCUUCCUGACUUGCUGUGUGCCUGAGGCUUUAUAGAAAUGGUUGGCACAAGUUCAGAGCCUUCACAUGAUUGAUUUGUUGAUCUUUAAAACUUACUCCCACCCAUCCCUGAGACUCUUAGCUCUGUCAGUAUUGUGAAGUAUUUGCAAGCUUCUCAUAGCUAGUUCAUGACUGGUUGGGAUUGCAAAUGACAAUGGCAGAUGUAAUUCAAGAUCUUUUGCUAAAUAAGCCAGUGAUAUGUCACAUGAGAAUAAUGGGCUUGGGCAUCGAUCAUGAUUGAUUUAAAAAUGACAUGUAAUUAAUAUGGACAUUCAUGGACAUUAGUGUCUAGAACGAAAUAUUAUAAUCUCCAUCACGUUCUGAAUCCUGAGACAGAGAUACUUGCAUUAUACAGCUCAUUUACUUUUGAAUUCUCAUGAGCAAACUCAUUUCUGUAAAGCAGCAUCUGUACAUAGAGUUAAAGGAAUUAUUUGAACAUGUGUAUCUGCUUUCCAUUUAUAUCCUUUAGGAGGCAAAGUUAUUGUAUGUGAUGUUGCUGAAGUAAUCAACAGUACAUGAGCUAACUGUAGCUAAAGAUAUCACAUUGUAUAUCAAGAACCUUAUUGUCAUUUUCUUUUCCAGAAUUACUGGCUGAAAUCAUUCCUCCGAGAGGAUUUUUUCCUCAGUGACUAAUUCACUGGGAUUUCUCUCAAUUUGGAAUUCUGUCUUUAUGACUAAAAGCUAUUUUCCAUAUGAAUCUAGUUGAGAUGUCACUUUUUCCAAACUUGCUGCCCUGUCCUGAACAAAGUGUCAUUUCAGUUCCUAAAUGUAUCUUCCAACAAUUGGGUUCUAUUGGAAGAUUCUGCCACAUAUUCACUUCACAUAUAAAUCUCUGUAUGUCCUUAAAGAUUUAGAACAUAGAUUAGUGAAAUAAUUUCUCAAUGUGAAUUCAAAUGAUAUUACAAUCGAUCCUCUAAACUGUGCCAGGAAUAUUCUGGAUGCAUAUAAUAAGCAUUCCUUUAUCUGGUGAUGAGGACUCUGUUACAUAUUUAAUGAUGUGGAUUCUGGCCAUCACUAUAUGGCAAACAUGAUAAUGACAAUGAUGGUGGUGAUGGCAAUGAUGUGCAUCCAUCAUUUACUGAGCACAUUCCAUGAGCCAGAUUCUGUGUUCAGUUACCUACAUGAAUAAUUAUGUUUAAUCUUCAUACUAGGCAUACAUGGUUUUUAUUAAUCCCUACUUUAUAGGCAGCAAUAUGAAGUUCACUGAGACUAUCUAAAACAUCGAUGACACAGUGCCUUAGUGUCAGAACCUGGUUCCUACCCAGUAGGAUUGAUUUCAAAGCCUACUUUUUUACCUUUACACAUUAAAAGAUGUAGGAUAUACAAAAAAAAAAAAAAAGAGUUCUUGUUGUGGGGCAGCAGAAACAAAUCUGAGUAGGAAUCAUGAGGUUCCAGGUUCAAUCCCUGGCCUUGCUCAGUGGGUUAAGGAUUCAAUGUUGCCAUGAGCUGUGGCGUAGGUCGCAGAUGAGGCUCAGAUCCUGCAUUGCUGUGACUGUGGUGUGGGCCAGCAGUUGUAGCUCUGAUUCAACACCUAGCCUGGGACCCUCCAUAUGUG
ensembl:lncRNA